rnacentral:rRNA from 1 species
GUCUUUCAAGUCCGAUGCUAAAGACUGGGGCUCAACCCCAGGGGUGCGUUGGAUACUGUGAGGCUAGACGGUCGGAGGGGGUAGCGGAAUUUCCGGAGUAGCGGUGAAAUGCGCAGAUACCGGAAGGAACGCCAAUAGCGAAGGCAGCUACCUGGACGACUUGUGACGCUGAGGCGCGAAAGCGUGGGGAGCAAACCGGAUUAGAUACCCGGGUAGUCCACGCCCUAAACCAUGAGUGCUGGGUGUCCGGCUUCUGCUGGGUGCCGUAGCUAACGCGCUAAGCACUCCGCCUGGGAAGUACGCACGCAAGUGUGAAACUCAAAGGAAUUGACGGGGGCCCGCACAAGCGGUGGAGCAUGUGGUUUAAUUCGAAGCGACGCGAAGAACCUUACCAGGCCUUGACAUGCCCGGAACCCCUCUGAAAGGAGGGGGUGCCCGCAAGGGAGCCGGGACACAGGUGCUGCAUGGCCGUCGUCAGCUCGUGUCGUGAGAUGUUGGGUUAAGUCCCGCAACGAGCGCAACCCCUAUCCCUAGUUGCCAGCAGUUCGGCUGGGCACUCUAUGGAGACUGCCUGCGAAAGCAGGAAGAAGGCGGGGAUGACGUCUGGUCCGCAUGGCCCUUACGGCCUGGGCGACACACGUGCUACAAUGCCAAGGACAGAGCGCUGCUACCUCGCGAGAGGACGCCAAUCGCAAAAACCUUGGCUCAGUUCGGAUUGGAGUCUG